UUCCAUGAAUUAAUUGUAGGAAUUUAUUA
rnacentral:piRNA from 1 species